UCAGGACGAACGCUGGCGGCGUGCCUAAUACAUGCAAGUCGAGCGGAAAUUUUAUUGGUGCUUGCACCUUUAAAAUUUUAGCGGCGGACGGGUGAGUAACACGUGGGUAACCUGCCUUAUAGAUUGGGAUAACUCCGGGAAACCGGGGGUAAUACCGAAUAAUACUUUUAAACACAUGUUUGAAUGUUGAAAGACGGCAUUUCGCUGUCACUAUAAGAUGGACCCGCGGCGCAUUAGCUAGUUGGUGAGGUAACGGCUCACCAAGGCAACGAUGCGUAGCCGACCUGAGAGGGUGAUCGGCCACACUGGGACUGAGACACGGCCCAGACUCCUACGGGAGGCAGCAGUAGGGAAUCUUCCACAAUGGACGAAAGUCUGAUGGAGCAACGCCGCGUGAGUGAAGAAGGAUUUCGGUUCGUAAAACUCUGUUGCAAGGGAAGAACAAGUAGCGUAGUAACUGGCGCUACCUUGACGGUACCUUGUUAGAAAGCCACGGCUAACUACGUGCCAGCAGCCGCGGUAAUACGUAGGUGGCAAGCGUUGUCCGGAAUUAUUGGGCGUAAAGCGCGCGCAGGUGGUUCCUUAAGUCUGAUGUGAAAGCCCCCGGCUCAACCGGGGAGGGUCAUUGGAAACUGGGGAACUUGAGUGCAGAAGAGGAUAGUGGAAUUCCAAGUGUAGCGGUGAAAUGCGUAGAGAUUUGGAGGAACACCAGUGGCGAAGGCGACUGUCUUCUGUAAGACACGAGGCGCGAAAGGAGCC
rnacentral:rRNA from 1 species